rnacentral:rRNA from 1 species
GACGAACGCUGGCGGCGUGCUUAACACAUGCAAGUCGAACGGAAAGGCCCUGCUUUUGUGGGGUGCUCGAGUGGCGAACGGGUGAGUAACACGUGAGUAACCUGCCCUUGACUUUGGGAUAACUUCAGGAAACUGGGGCUAUUACCGGAUAGGAGCUCCUGCUGCAUGGUGGGGGUUGGAAAGUUUCGGCGGUUGGGGAUGGACUCGCGGCUUAUCAGCUUGUUGGUGGGGUAGUGGCUUACCAAGGUUUUGACGGGUAGCCGGCCUGAGAGGGUGACCGGCCACAUGGGGACUGAGAUACGGACCAGACGCCUACGGGAGGCAGCAGGGGGGAGUAUUGCACAGUGGGCGGAAGCCUGAGGCAGCAACGCCGCGUGCGGGAUGACGGCCUUCGGGUUGAAAACCGCUGUCGCCUGUGACGAAGCGUGAGUGACGGUAAUGGGUAAAGAAGCACCGGCUAACUACGUG